UUCUUUAAAAUUAAAAAUUUUGGCGGUAUUUUAGUCUUUUCAGAGGAACCUGUUUUUUAAUUGAUAGUCCACAAUUAACUUUACUUAAAUUUUAAAUUUAUAUAUCAUCGUUUAUAAAAAUUUUAUUAUUUAAUUUUUUCAGAUCAAGGUGUAGUUGAUAUUUAAGUCAAAAUGGGUUACAUUAAAAAUUUCAAAUAAACUGGAUUUGAAAGUAAGCUCUAAAAUAUGUACAUAUCGCCCGUCGCUUUCAUUAUAAAAUGAAAUAAGUCGUAACAAAGUAGGCUUAUUGGAAAAUGAGCCUAGAAUGCAAGUUAUAGCUUAUUAAGCAUUUUAUUUACAUUAAAAAGUUAGUUGUUAAAUACAACUUAUCUUGAAUUUAAAGUUUUAUUAAUUUUCUUUUUAAUUUGUUUUUAACAUAAAUAUUUUUAUUUUUAUUAUUUUAAGGAAAAAAUUUAAUAAUAGUUUAUAGUAUAGUGAUAGAAUAACAUGAAAUUAUAUAAAGAAAAUUUAAAUUAUUGUACCUUGUGUAUCAGGGUUAAUUAAUUUAUUUUUCUCGAAUUUAAAAGAGCUAAUUUUAUUGUAAAAUAAAUAUUUAUAAUUAUUAAUUGGAAAUGAAACGUUAUUCGUUUUUAAAUAUAUCUAGUUUUUUAAGAAAAAAAUUUAAUUUUUCUAUUAACAUUAAUUUUAUAAGGGAUAAGCUUUUAAUUAAAAUUUUAUAAAUAAUUAGUUAUAAAAAAAUUAUAGGAUUAGAAUUUUCUAUUUUAAAUAAAAUGUUAUAAUAAAUAAUUUUAAAUUUUAUAUUAAAAUUUUAAUUUAAAUUUUAUUUAUUAAGUAAUAAUGAUUGAAUUAGUAAGGUUAUAAUAAGGAACUCGGCAAAAAUUAUUUUCACCUGUUUAAUAAAAACAUGUCUUUUUGAUAUUAAUUUAAAGUCUUACCUGCCCAAUGAUUAAAUGGCCGCAGUAUUUUGACUGUGCAAAGGUAGCAUAAUCAUUAGUUUUUUAAUUAAAAGCUGGAAUGAAUGGUUUGAUGAAAAAUGAACUGUCUCUAAAAUUUUAAUUUUAAGUUAAAAAGCUUAAAUAUUAUAUAAAGACGAGAAGACCCUAUAGAGUUUUUUAGUUGGGGUGACAUAAAAAUUUAAAAAACUUUUUAUUUAAAUGAUUUAUUGAUCCUAGAUUAUAAGAUUAAAUUACCUUAGGGGUGCAGCGUAAUUUUUUUGGAAAGUUCUCAUUU
rnacentral:rRNA from 1 species